rnacentral:rRNA from 1 species
AAUGCUGACAUAAGUAACGAUAAAGCGGGUGAAAAGCCCGCUCGCCGGAAGACCAAGGGUUCCUGUCCAACGUUAAUCGGGGCAGGGUGAGUCGACCCCUAAGGCGAGGCCGAAAGGCGUAGUCGAUGGGAAACGGGUUAAUAUUCCCGUACUUGGUGUUACUGCGAAGGGGGGACGGAGAAGGCUAUGUUGGCCGGGCGACGGUUGUCCCGGUUUAAGCGUGUAGGUGUGUGUUCCAGGUAAAUCCGGUUCACUUUAACACUGAGGCGUGACGACGAGGCACUACGGUGCUGAAGCAACAAAUGCCCUGCUUCCAGGAAAAGCCUCUAAGCAUCAGGUAACACGAAAUCGUACCCCAAACCGACACAGGUGGUCAGGUAGAGAAUACCAAGGCGCUUGAGAGAACUCGGGUGAAGGAACUAGGCAAAAUGGUGCCGUAACUUCGGGAGAAGGCACGCUGACAUGUAGGUGAAGUGAUUUACUCAUGGAGCUGAAGUCAGUCGAAGAUACCAGCUGGCUGCAACUGUUUAUUAAAAACACAGCACUGUGCAAACACGAAAGUGGACGUAUACGGUGUGACGCCUGCCCGGUGCCGGAAGGUUAAUUGAUGGGGUCAGCGCAAGCGAAGCUCCUGAUCGAAGCCCCGGUAAACGGCGGCCGUAACUAUAACGGUCCUAAGGUAGCGAAAUUCCUUGUCGGGUAAGUUCCGACCUGCACGAAUGGCGUAAUGAUGGCCAGGCUGUCUCCACCCGAGACUCAGUGAAAUUGAACUCGCUGUGAAGAUGCAGUGUACCCGCGGCAAGACGGAAAGACCCCGUGAACCUUUACUAUAGCUUGACACUGAACAUUGAGCCUUGAUGUGUAGGAUAGGUGGGAGGCUUUGAAGUGUGGACGCCAGUCUGCAUGGAGCCGACCUUGAAAUACCACCCUUUAAUGUUUGAUGUUCUAACGUGGACCCGUGAUCCGGGUUGCGGACAGUGUCUGGUGGGUAGUUUGACUGGGGCGGUCUCCUCCUAAAGAGUAACGGAGGAGCACGAAGGUUGGCUAAUCCUGGUCGGACAUCAGGAGGUUAGUGCAAUGGCAUAAGCCAGCUUGACUGCGAGCGUGACGGCGCGAGCAGGUGCGAAAGCAGGUCAUAGUGAUCCGGUGGUUCUGAAUGGAAGGGCCAUCGCUCAACGGAUAAAAGGUACUCCGGGGAUAACAGGCUGAUACCGCCCAAGAGUUCAUAUCGACGGCGGUGUUUGGCACCUCGAUGUCGGCUCAUCACAUCCUGGGGCUGAAGUAGGUCCCAAGGGUAUGGCUGUUCGCCAUUUAAAGUGGUACGCGAGCUGGGUUUAGAACGUCGUGAGACAGUUCGGUCCCUAUCUGCCGUGGGCGCUGGAGAACUGAGGGGGGCUGCUCCUAGUACGAGAGGACCGGAGUGGACGCAUCACUGGUGUUCGGGUUGUCAUGCCAAUGGCACUGCCCGGUAGCUAAAUGCGGAAGAGAUAAGUGCUGAAAGCAUCUAAGCACGAAACUUGCCCCGA